rnacentral:rRNA from 1 species
UACGUAGGGACCAAGCGUUGUUCGGAUUUACUGGGCGUAAAGGGCGCGUAGGCGGCAAUUCAAGUCAUCUGUGAAAUCUCCGGGCUUAACUCGGAACGGUCAGGUGAAACUGCUUUGCUAGAGUGCGGAAGGGGCAAUCGGAAUUCUCGGGGUAGCGGUGAAAUGCGUAGAUAUCGAGAGGAACACCUGAGGUGAAGACGGGUUGCUGGGCCGACACUGACGCUGAAGCGCGAAAGCCAGGGGAGCAAACGGG